rnacentral:rRNA from 1 species
UGGCGGCGUGCUCAACACAUGUAAGUCUACGAGAAAGUUUUCUUCGGAAAGCGAUUAAAGUGGCGCACGGGUGAGUAACACGUAAGUAAUCUACCCUUAGGUCUGGAAUAACUCCAAGAAAUCGGAGCUAAUACAGGAUGAUGCAGCGGCACCACAUGGUGAUGUUGUUAAAGUCUAUAUGACGCCUAUCGAUGAGCUUGCGUCUGAUUAGUUUGUUGGUGAGGUAAAGGCUCACCAAGGCUGCAAUCAGUAGCUGGUCUGAGAGGAUGAUCAGCCACACUGGAACUGAGACACGGUCCAGACUCCUACGGGAGGCAGCAGUGAGGAAUAUUGGGCAAUGGGCGAAAGCCUGACCCAGCAACGCCGCGUGGAGGAUGAAUGUCGUAAGAUUGUAAACUCCUGUUAGGGGGGAAGAAUAAUCCCGAUCGACUCGGGACUUGACUGUACCCUCAGAGAAAGCUCCGGCUAACUACGUG